UCAUUAGGUUCAUUCUCAUGUUAAAGUUUUUGGUUGAGGUAGAUUUACCACUCAUAAAAAAAUUUGUAGGAAAAAAAUUCUGAAACAAGUGCCUGUGUAUUACAAUGAGGUUAUGGUUACAUAGACGUACACAUGUUCACUGUGAUGUGAACUAUUUUAUUGUUUGCGAAAUUACAGUUUUGACUUAAAUUCCACAGUUCACUUAACAUGGAAACAUGUAGUGUACAGUAUAGUACAUAACAUGUUCUCAUAGGUGAUGGGUUAUGUGUGUAUAUAACUACUUAUAUGAUGAUGUACAGACUAAUUCUAUUGUGUGUUUCAAUGAAAUAAAUGUAGGCCCACAC
rnacentral:lncRNA from 1 species